rnacentral:rRNA from 1 species
CGUCUAUAUACGUAUAGCAUAUCAAUAAGCGGAGGAAAAGAAACUAACUAAGAUUCCCUUAGUAACGGCGAGUGAAGCGGGAAGAGCUCAAAUUUGAAAUCUUCAAGGUUCUACCUCGACGAAUUGUAGUUUAAAGAAGUGUUUUCUGUUGGAGUUUUGGUAAAAGUUCUUUGGAAUAGGACAUCAUAGAGGGUGAGAAUCCCGUAUUUGACCAUUAUUUCCAGCUUUGUGAUACACUUUCAAAGAGUCGGAUUGUUUGGGAAUGCAGUCCAAAAUGGGUGGUAAAUUUCAUCUAAAGCUAAAUAUUGGCGAGAGACCGAUAGCGAACAAGUACCGUGAGGGAAAGAUGAAAAGAACUUUGAAAAGAGAGUUAAACAGUACGUGAAAUUGUCAAAAGGGAAGCGUUUGACACCAGUGUUGUUCUUCCGAAAAUCAAUUACGAAUGUUUUGUUUUUGAGGAGUUAUGACUUCAUCGGCUUGCUCCUUUCUUUACGAAACUUUCUUAAUGCACUUUUCGGUUAACAAGUCAACAUCAAUUUCUUUUGUUGUAAAAGGGUCAUGAGGAAGGUGGCUUUCUUUUCGGAGAAAGUGUUUAUAGCCUUGUGCCUCUGCAAUCGGAGAGAUUGAGGUCUGCAGCGUAGAUCCUUCGGGGUUAGGAUACAUUUGUGCUAAGUUAUAGCCUUUCAUAGACAACUUGUUGACUAUGAUCAGUCAUGUAGCUUACUCGCUUAUGCUAUUUUACCUACGCUUAGGAUGUUGACUGAUAUGUAGUCGUA